AAUUCUAGUCCCUGUUUUAUUGCCAAUCACUCUGUCAUCUGUGUGACUCUGGACAUGUGAAGUAACUUUGUUCUUCUGUAAAGUGAAGGAGAGUAAAUAGAAAACUUCAAAGGUGAGGCUAUUAUACCUGGCUCACAGACCACACUUUCAAUAGCAAGGAACUAAAGGAGAAGAGAGAAGUCAAUCAGAAAUGUCCUGACAUGAUUGUUGUGUUGAUGAGCAGCUUUGCAUCCUUAACAGCAACUGCUAUACAGGCAACAGCUUCCAUGCAAGUCUCAUAGCUCACGGAAUGGAAUUCCAGGCCAUCUGUCUAGCCACAACUGGGGAUGACUCUCCAUCUGUAUGCAGUAUUUCCCUACUUUGCAAUAAUCAUCCUGCUGCCAAGAAGCUCCAGAAUCUUUAAAAACAGAUAUACACACAACUCAUCUUCCAGAGACUGAUGAUAACAGGCAAUUGAGCUAAUGUUAGACAACACGUCAUGGAAUAAAAAUAUCUUUCU